AGGGUUUUGAAUAUGGCUCAGGACGAACGCUGGCGGCGUGCCUAAUACAUGCAAGUCGAGCGGACAGAUGGGAGCUUGCUCCCUGAUGUUAGCGGCGGACGGGUGAGUAACACGUGGGUAACCUGCCUGUAAGACUGGGAUAACUCCGGGAAACCGGGGCUAAUACCGGAUGGUUGUUUGAACCGCAUGGUUCAAACAUAAAAGGUGGCUUCGGCUACCACUUACAGAUGGACCCGCGGCGCAUUAGCUAGUUGGUGAGGUAACGGCUCACCAAGGCGACGAUGCGUAGCCGACCUGAGAGGGUGAUCGGCCACACUGGGACUGAGACACGGCCCAGACUCCUACGGGAGGCAGCAGUAGGGAAUCUUCCGCAAUGGACGAAAGUCUGACGGAGCAACGCCGCGUGAGUGAUGAAGGUUUUCGGAUCGUAAAGCUCUGUUGUUAGGGAAGAACAAGUACCGUUCGAAUAGGGCGGUACCUUGACGGUACCUAACCAGAAAGCCACGGCUAACUACGUGCCAGCAGCCGCGGUAAUACGUAGGUGGCAAGCGUUGUCCGGAAUUAUUGGGCGUAAAGGGCUCGCAGGCGGUUUCUUAAGUCUGAUGUGAAAGCCCCCGGCUCAACCGGGGAGGGUCAUUGGAAACUGGGGAACUUGAGUGCAGAAGAGGAGAGUGGAAUUCCACGUGUAGCGGUGAAAUGCGUAGAGAUGUGGAGGAACACCAGUGGCGAAGGCGACUCUCUGGUCUGUAACUGACGCUGAGGAGCGAAAGCGUGGGGAGCGAACAGGAUUAGAUACCCUGGUAGUCCACGCCGUAAACGAUGAGUGCUAAAUGUUAGGGGGUUUCCGCCCCUUAGUGCUGCAUGCUAACGCAUUAAGCACUCCGC
rnacentral:rRNA from 1 species